rnacentral:lncRNA from 1 species
GAACUCGGAACCUUGCGCUUUCGUAGCAGGCUGCGGAACCACUGAGCUAAAUCCCCGGGCCUUUCCCCCAUUUUUUGCUGCUGAGGAGCCAGAGACUUAGAAGAAGCAAAUGAUUUGCUCAAGGUCGUGACUGUGGUGUGGAGCAAGUAAGUUACCAUCUGUGAAGUGCUAAGAAUACUGAGGAGCCCAAUAUGCGGAUCAUAGACUUUGGCGAAGACUUUGGAUUCUGCUUUUUAUGAGAAUUGAAGUCUUUGGAGGGAUUUGAAUAAAGAAACCACAUUUUUCAGAAUUAAAAUUUAAAACACUUUGAGAACAAAUUGGAGGGCUCUGGUGCCAUCCAUAUACGAGUGACUGUGAG